AAUGCACCCUAACCCAAAGGCCAUAUCAAAUAAAGGUACGGUCUUGUCAGGUGUGCUAAAAUCAACAUGAUGUACCUUGUCGCCUUUCUCUGAUGCUGACGUGCCCUUGAAAGUGAAUCCAAGGUUCAACAAUU
rfam:Salmo salar isolate Sally breed double haploid chromosome ssa07, whole genome shotgun sequence.